CUCUCUCUCUCCCUCUCUGCUCUCUGCGUCCACGCCGCCGCCUCUCCUCCCCUUCUCGCUCUCCGCCUGCCUCCGUCGUCCCUCCCCGCCGCCGCUCCUCCUGUUCACCACCGUCGCCCGCUCCUAGAAGCUCUGGAUCUGGCGGUGGGGUGUGGCUUGGAGGAAGGGGGGAUCCAGAUCCGGCAGCGCUGGCCGGCCGAUGCCGGUGCUUGGGCGAGCAGGACAGCCCCGCUCUCACCGUGGGCACCGCCCCUCCCCACCCCCCCCCCCCCUCACUGUGGCGCUCCUCCCCUCCGGGAUCCGGCAAGGGCGAGGCUCGCAGCACCGGCAGCGCCGGCCUGGCUGCCUCGUGGAGCGGCGGCUCCUCCCCUCCGGGGUCCGGCGAGGGCGCGGCUCGCAGCACCGGCGGUGCCGGCCGGGCUGCCUCGUGGAGCGACGGCUCCUCCCCUCCGGAUCCGGCGAGAGCCGCGGCUGGGCGGGCAGCGGGGGCCGCGGCUGCAGGGCCGGCGUGGCACCCCCACCUUGUCUUCCGGUGCAGGAAGGAUGGACACGCUGCUAUGCUGAAGAAGGAAGAACUGCUCGUGCCAAUCAGCUUAGCCAUAUCCUUGCGUGAAUUAAGGUAGUGCUCCCCUUCCUCCUUCCUUUAGCUUCGUACAUUGCACCAGUAGGUUUGUGAACCUGUCCUUUUUCUCUUACUCAUCAAUUGUGUAUAGAAUUAAAAUAAGCUACUGUUAGUACAAAAUGUUCCAAGGUUCUCCAUACAUUUAGCAGGGAGAUUUUCUAUUUGGGUUGUUUUGCUAACCUGAACUAUUGUUGUGUCUAUACUGAGAUAAUUGGAGGAUGUAUUAGACUCUGCACCAGUUCUAGAGGUAAGACCAGAGGUAUGUGCAAUUGCCCUUUUUUUUCUUACUGAAUCACCAAUCAUCUAUAGAAUUAAAACACUCUGCACCAGUUCUAGAGGUAAGACCAGAUGUAUGUGCAAUUGCCCUUUUUUUUCUUAUUGAAUCAUCAAUCAUCUAUAGAAUUAAAACACUCUGCACCAGUUCUAGACGUAAGACCAGAGGUAUGUGCAAUUGCCCUUUUUUUCUUACUGAAUCAUCAAUCAUCUAUAGAAAUAAAACAAGGUUUUAACUGUAGUAGAAAAUGUUUUGUGCAGGAGAACACCCCUUGCGUUUUGUGGAGGAGAACACCCGGUGCCCCAAAAUCUCCGGAUAAUUCAGCGAAUCCUCAGAGCGAGAGGUACAGAAUUGGUGAGUGAGACUUCCACCCCUCUGAUUCAUUACCAAUAUAAACAACCGGAUCCAAUAUUCAUUAUUUCUAUCACCAUCCUGUGAGGCUAUGUCAUGUUUGCGUUCAGAAAUCAGCAGCAAGUUAUCAUGACGACGUGAUCUGGGAAAACAGCUCUCCACUGCUUGCUUGCUCAGCCUCCUCUUUUUCCUCUGAAGUUCUAUCAUAUAAAAAGUUUCUUAAUUUUGGAUAGGCCACUGAAAACUUAUUUGUUGUCGAAAUGGGUUAGUCACAUGUUUAAAGGAAAUGGCUGCCAGCCUUCCUGUGCGCCGGUUAUUUUUCUUUUAUUGGUGUGAAAUGUUUCUUUUGUCGUAAUGUCAUCUGAAUUUUUAUUCAUUGUGUAUAUUAGCCUUAGUGUAAUUUCUUUACCCAGCAGGCCAUCUACUGCUUGCAUGCGCUUCCUUUUUUUUAAUCCAAUAAAGCUGUGUAAUUUCCCAAGGUAAUAUUGUUGCUGCCUUUUGGUCUGUGCUUGGUAAUUCUCUUCCAUUAAAAGGGGGUAUACUUUCCUGAUGAGCUUGAAUUUAGUAUGCUUGAUAAUAAGUUCAACACCCAAACUAGGCAUAGAUAAUCUUAAUGAGCCGAAGCAUUAGUUUGCAAGAAAGGAAUUUAUUGACUAUUGAUAUCCAAACCUCGUGGUCUGCAGGUAGAUUUGGAGGAGUAUAUGGGCAGUCAAAGCUUUCAAACAUCUUGCAUGCUAAUGAACUUGCAGGUGAUUUAAGGUAUGUCAUUCUCCGUCUAAUACAUGACCUUUUAUUUUUUGGUGCAAGUAUUGUACAUUUAUGUGAUAAGGACAUAAGGUAGAGCAGUAGACAUUGCUUUUUUAGUUCAGUCUGUUUUCCCCCCAUGCUACCACAUUAAUGCAGACCUUUUACUGAUUGGGCUUCCUACUGCUACGCUAUGGUUAGUUUUUUUUUUGGAGCGUGCUAAACUUUUUUUACUUCAUAAAUUGUUAUUCCUGUUGUUUACUUUUGAUUGUGGAAAGAAGCCGAGAAGGCUAUCCAUCAGGUUUAAGAGGCUUGGUAUGGUUGAGAUCCCAAGAUAUUCUCUCAAUUUGCCUUGAAUGCUGCUUACAAAAAUAGUCUCUGUUUGGCUUGAAUACAACCUGCAACAGGACUUAUUUCAUCAUUAUUAAUUGCCUAUCAUUUUUCAGAUUUAAAAAACGUAAUAGGAGAAUGUGCAGACUGCCCAUAAUGUGAUCCUCAUGCAUUUUACUGCUGGGUUUGUGACUACACAUUGACUUUUGGACCUAUGUAGGUUUUCUAAUUUAUCAGUACCUGCAUCAAGCCACCAAGGUUAGCUUAUAGGAGGCCUAAUUAUCAUUGCUCAGGUGUAUACAAAAUUCUUACUUUCACUUGCAUUGUAGACUAUGGAUAUGAGCAGUAGACUUAUGUAGUUACCUGCAACUUCGUUAUUCAGAAUGCUGAAGUUUAGACAGUACAAUAUUAUCAGAAUGAAAUUAGAGAAGUGGUCCUAAACUAAGCUGGUCGACAAAUAGAUGUAUUAACACUUCCCAUAUCCAUUCCCUUGACAGAAGCAGGAAGAUAUGCUCUUAUAGUCUUAUUAUUAUAAAUGUUUUCCAUAAGUUAUUUUUUUUCCUCUACGACCAAGCCACAGAAGAGCAAGGAAGAGGUUGGCCUCCCAUGCACAAGCUCUUUUUCUUAUCAGCAUCAGAUAGGAAGGAUGCUUAGUCACAAGAAUGGAGAAUUGGAGCUGAGAUUCAUUCCGACUCAAUAAUUUUUUAUGGAUUAUUCAGCUACACCAUACUGUGGCAUUACUGUUGUGGUUUAUGUAUUGUUCAAGGCAUAGUUUUUUCCUGAAAUGAGUCGAAGGCAUAGUUAAGAUAACCUGUAAUUGCUUGUGCAUGAACUUAUGCUGCUUAUAGUAAAAUUAUCGACCUUGUAUUAGUAAGUGAUUUAUGGUAUCAGUUACAUAAUGCCUUUUCAUGUAUAAGCUCCUAUCUUUGUUAAAAUACAAAUCCAUUCAUAUUGUUAGGCUUUCACUGUGGCA